rnacentral:tRNA from 1 species
GUUGACGUGGGGUAAUGGUUAUCAUGUCGGCCUUACACACCGGUGGUCUCUAGUUCGAUUUUGGGCAACAACA